GAUCUCUGUCACUCAGGCUGGAGGGCUAUGGCAUGAUCAUGGUUCACUAUGGCCUCAACCUCCUGGGCUCAAGCAAUCUGCCUACCUCAGCCUCCUCCUAAACAGCUGGAACUACAGGUUUUGUCCUGAGAUCCCUCCUGCUGACACACCAUGGUUGUCUGGAUCUCCCAGGAAAAGCACCACAAUGUUCAAGAUGGAGAAAAUCAUCAGGAACUGCCAACCCUCCCCCGCUUUGCUCAGCACACAUGCACACAUUACUCAUGCAUACACACACGUACAUGCAUGCACAAAUAUGUACACAUACACACGUGUGAACAUGCAUACAAUUUCUGUGGCUUCAUCCUGCUGUGAUGGCUGAUGAAACCAUGGAGCCAUGCAAGUGUUAAGAUUAGGGAGAGGGUUCGGUGUGGGAGAAGGACAUCUGCUGUUGGAUCCAAGGAGAUCUGAGUCCUGACCCCAAGGCACUUAUCCUCUGGCCCAAGUCACUUAGCCCACCCCAUUCCUCAGUUUCCCUUUCUAUGAAAUUUGUAUUACAUAUGCCCUGCCUAACUCAGAGGCAACAGAAGAGACAUUGCUCUGAGGGUGGAAAGAGCCAGCUUUGACCGAAGAGUCCUAGGCUGUGCCAGAUAGGGCAGGGUGGACCCAUGAGAAGACUGUCCCCCAUCUGCCCCCAGCUGUGACAGCUAGGCCUUUGAAAAUUUGGCACAUCUCAGAUGUUCCUGUCAUCCUAUCUUGGUGGUGUCCUUGAUUCUGACACCUGCUCCCUGGAUUAAAGACAGAGGGGAAACCUCACCUAGAGGAUUUUGCUCUCCUGAGCAGAGGGCAAUGAGCCUGAAUCCUUGCUGAGUCUAAAUCCCUACUGAGCUCCACACCCUUCCACACUAAGAUGUGCCUUUCCCACUGGGACAGGGUCUUCUGGUCACUGGGUCAUGUCUUCUUUAGCUCUGGGCCACGAGCUCUUCCUUUUCCUAUCUGUGCUCAGCUCAGUGCCUCCCUCUGUCUUGCUUCCUAUAGACCCUGCAUGCCUGACACACUUUAUCCUCAGACCCCUGAGGGCAUCAGGGAAAGAUCCCAGUCCAUCCUGUCAGUGCCAAGAGCUGGAUCAGUGCCCCUGGCUUUGAGGAUCUCAGGCAGGAGAACAAAGCUUCACAGGAAAAUGCCCUUAGAGACUGGGGAAUAAA
rnacentral:lncRNA from 1 species